ACCAGCAGUAUAAUGAGUGUGAGGAUGUGGCCGUGUACUGCGAACUGCUACUAGUAUGGUUGCGCGGCGGCGGAGAGCACGGCGGACAAGGCGAGCGCCGCAAAGGCUAUGAAAGCCAGGCUGAUGGCGGCCGUCAUGGCGUCCGUGAAGACGUUGAGUACGGCGGAUCUCAUGCGGAGGGUGAUGGGGAGAGCCGCCGCCGACGCCGUGAUGAGCAGGUACGCCACCACCUGGUCGCCGGCGAAAUCCGCGAGGCCGCCACCCGCUCUCCCGGAGGCGCGCAUCCGGCGGAAGCCACGGGUGGCCUGCGCGGCGGAGUAGGCGCAGGCGAGCGCGGAGGCCCCCAGGAGGCCCCGGUACUCCGGGUAGCGCGCGAACUCCAUCCAGUCGCCGUGGCGGCAGGACGCGACGAGCGCGACGGCCACGAACGCCAUGACCGACGCGGCCGCGCGCAGCAGCAGCAGGACCCCGUCCAGCGCCCGCGCUCCCGCCGGCUGCUGGUGGUGGUGGUGGUGGUGGUGGUGGCGCGCCGCCGAGGAGGACGACCGGGUGGUGGUGGUGGUGGCGACCAUGCCGCCGUGUCGGCCGUCGUAGGAAUCGUAGGCCGCCGCCGCCGCCUUGUUGUGAACCGCGUAGCCCAGAGGAGGAGGAGGAGGAGGCUUGGCGACGUAGUACGCGGCGGGGCUGCUGGUGGUGGCUUUGGGCGUGGUGGGCAUCGCCAUGAUGUCCAGGUCCAUGCCUUCUUAGCGGGGAAGCAAAUGCUACAUACAGAGGGCCAGCUAAAUGUAACGAUUAACGAAGAAAGUGGUGAUGGAUGGAGAGCGAAUCGCGUCUUGCUUUUGUUGAUG
rnacentral:misc_RNA from 1 species